GUCAAGCAAGUGAAAGUUAACAGAUUUAAGGAGCAUAUUCAGAAAGAAGUGUAGUUAAGCCUGUUUUUAAGCCUGUUUUUGGACAUUUAGAGUAUCCAAAACAGAAACGGAGCACUGGCCUUAAGUGGAAUAUGGAGGUGGAGGAAUUUGUUUUCCAGGCUCUCCAGCAUUUCUUUCUUCAUCCUCUUCUGAACAAUCGCUGAUCCUGCUCCCCUUCUCCCCUGCUACUUGGGAUUAGGAAGCAGCUGACAAAUCCAUUAAGUCGUGAGAAUUUUCUAUUACUCCUCCCAGCAGGAUAUCAGGAAGAGAAGACUCUCAAAUGUUGAAAUUUCAGAUGUGGGCGAGGAAGUGACAUUUAUCGCUGUACACAGAAGAAAAUGAGCCAAGAAGUGCUGCAGGAGUUCAGAGGCGAGAGAGAGGAAUGUGGCCUGACAUGCACAGAUUUCAAGAAGGAGGUAGAGCUGAAGAUGGUCCUUUAGGCUGGCUGAAAUGAAAUGACUCCCAGGGAAACUUGGAACCCAUGUGUUGAAGGUGGUAGCACUUCCAUCAGCCUGGGUCCUGAGUGCCUGCAGGAGGAUAUCCUGUGGAUCCAUGUACCUGCUGAGGACUACAAGCAUCUACUGAGUGCUGAUAUAGCUUGGAUAAGUGUCCACACCCAAAUCUAAGUUCAGCAUGAUUUGAGAUUGAAGCUGUGCAGCCAUUGCUACAAUCAAUUCCAGAACUCCUUCAGCAUUCAAAAGGAGACCCUGUACCCAUUGGCAAUCGCUCUCAAUUUUCCCCUUUCCCCAGCCCUUGGAAACUACUAAUUUUCUUUCCAUCUCUUUAUAGAUUUGCCUAUUCUGGACAUUUAAUAUAAAUGGAAUUAUAUACUAUGUGGUCCUUUGUGAUGGUCUUCUUUCACUUAGAAUAAUGUUUUCAAAGGUCAUGCACAUUAUAGCCUGCAUCAGUACUUUAUUGCUUUUAAUGAAUGAAUAAUAUUCCAUUGUAUGGGCAUACCACAUUUUAUGUACUCAUUUAUCAGUUGAUGGACAUCUGGGCUUGUUUAUACUUUUUGGCUAUUAUGAAUUAUAAUGCUACAAACAUUUGUGUACAAGUUUUUGGUAAACAUAAGCUUGCAAUUCUCUUGGGUAUGUUCUAGUUGUAGAAUGUCUGGAUCAUGUGAUAACUCUAUAUUUAAACUUUUGAGGUGUUGCCAGAUUGUUUUCCAAGGUGGCUGCACCAUUUUGCAUUUCCAAUAGUACAGUUUGAGGGUUCCAAUUUCUCUCUACAUCCUCUCCAACACUUAUUAUUAUCUGUCUUUUUGGUAGGUGUAAAGUGGUAUCUCAUUGUAGUUUUGAUUUGCAUUUACUUGAUGACUAAUGAGGUUGGGCAUCUUUAUAUGCUUAUUGGUCAUUGGGAUAUCUUUUAGGAGAAAUGUUUAUUCAGAUCCUUUACCCAUUUAAAAGAUUGUAUUAGGAAGGCAGCAAACCACACUGCCAUGUGUGUACCUAUGCAACAAUCUCACAUGUUCUUCACAUGUACCCCAAAACCCAAAA